UCGUGCUAGACGGGGAGCUAGCGGUGCCCUGUUGCCCGAGAUCCGCUUAGCGGGGUUGAAUUCCCACUCAAAGGAUUGCAGCGUUGUUCGGGUCCUGAACGCCAAGCGGGGGAAUUGGACCCCACGCAACGGACGCUUGUGAACCCCGUCAGGUCCGGAAGGAAGCAGCGGUAAGCAAGGCGGUGCGUGUCGUGGCGGCUUCUAAUUCAAAACCCUUGGCGUCCAGUUCGAGCGAUGGCGGAUUCGAUGAGGGGUGCACGG
rfam:Desulfobacca acetoxidans DSM 11109, complete genome.